rnacentral:misc_RNA from 1 species
GUCUGAAUCGGGGACAAGAUCGGUGAUCCAUUGCUUGAGCUUUCGGAGGAGUAUUGGCGAUCAGGCAGAGGUGGGACGGGAACGUGACCGGUGUGGUAGGCGCGAGACUGGCGUGUGCGGCGCGACUCCGACGACGGGCGGGGAUCAGCAGCGAACGAAACACGAGAGACGCGGUUCUCGAAGGCGGAGGUACGGACACCAGGACGAAGCUGUGACAUGUGGGGGGCAUCUGGAGAGACAGCAUCCUGAGUCAUCCUACCCUGAGC